rnacentral:rRNA from 1 species
GACGAACCGUGCGAACGUUAUUCGGAUUCACUGGGCUUAAAGGGCGCGUAGACGGACGACCGCGUCGAUGGCUGAAAGCCCCCGGCUCAACCGGGGAAUGGGCCUCGAUACGGGUCGUCUCGAGUGGAGGAGGGGGACCUGGAACUUCCGGUGGAGCGGUGAAAUGCGUUGAGAUCGGAAGGAACGCCGGCGGCGAAAGCGAGGUCCUGGACUCUGACUGACGUUGAGGCGCGAAAGCCAGGGGAGCGAACGGG